UACGGAGGGAGCUAGCGUUGUUCGGAAUUACUGGGCGUAAAGCGCACGUAGGCGGCUUUGUAAGUUAGAGGUGAAAGCCCGGAGCUCAACUCCGGAACUGCCUUUAAGACUGCAUCGCUUGAAUCCAGGAGAGGUGAGUGGAAUUCCCGGUGUAGAGGUGAAAUUCGUAGAUAUCGGGAGGAACACCGGUGGCGAAGGCGGCGACCUGGGUAGAUACUGACGCUGAGGCGCGAAAGCGUGGGGAGCAAACAGG
rnacentral:rRNA from 1 species